rnacentral:rRNA from 1 species
AUUGAACGCUGGCGGCAUGCCUUACACAUGCAGGUCGAACGGUAACGGGUCCUUCGGGAUGCCGACGAGUGGCGAACGGGUGAGUAAUAUAUCGGAACGUGCCCAGUAGUGGGGGAUAACUGCUCGAAAGAGCAGCUAAUACCGCAUACGACCUGAGGGUGAAAGGGGGGGAUCGCAAGACCUCUCGCUAUUGGAGCGGCCGAUAUCAGAUUAGCUAGUUGGUGGGGUAAAGGCCUACCAAGGCAACGAUCUGUAGUUGGUCUGAGAGGACGACCAGCCACACUGGGACUGAGACACGGCCCAGACUCCUACGGGAGGCAGCAGUGGGGAAUUUUGGGCAAUGGGCGCAAGCCUGAUCCAGCAAUGCCGCGUGCAGGAAGAAGGCCUUCGGGUUGUAAACUGCUUUUGUCAGGGAAGAAAUCUUCUGGGCUAAUACCCCGGGAGGAUGACGAUACCUGAAGAAUAAGCACCGGCUAACUACGUGCCAGCCGCCGCCGUAA